ACGUAGGUGGCAAGCGUUAUCCGGAAUGAUUGGGCGUAAAGGGUGCGUAGGUGGUACAUUAAGUCUGAAGUAAAAGGCAGCAGCUCAACUGCUGUUCGCUUUGGAAACUGGUGAACUAGAGUGCAGGAGAGGACGAUGGAAUUCCAUGUGUAGCGGUAAAAUGCGUAGAUAUAUGGAGGAACACCAGUGGCGAAGGCGGUCGCCUGGCCUGUAACUGACACUGAGGCACGAAAGCGUGGGGAGCAAAUAG
rnacentral:rRNA from 1 species